rnacentral:rRNA from 1 species
UACGGAGGGAGCUAGCGUUGUUCGGAAAUACUGGGCGUAAAGCGCACGUAGGCGGCGCAGCAAGUCAGGGGUGAAAUCCCGGGGCUCAACCCCCGGAACUGCCCUUGAAACUGCAGUGCUAGAAUCUUGGAGAGGCGAGUGGAAUUCCGAGUGUAGAGGUGAAAUUCGUAGAUAUUCGGAAGAACACCAGUGGCGAAGGCGACUCGCUGGACAAGUAUUGACGCUGAGGUGUGAAAGCGUGGGGAGCAAACAGG